rnacentral:lncRNA from 1 species
CCUCAACAUCAACUCCUGCCCACGGUUCCUGCCAACUACUCAAAUAUUGACACCAUCGUCACUCACAUAGGUUUUAAUGACCUUCGUUUUAGGCGAUCUGAGGAACUGAGGGAGGACUACAAACAUGUUUUACACCCUCGCUAGCACAGGGAAGAUAAUAAUAAUCUCUGACCCCCUCCCAUGUUACCGAAGGGGUUUGGAAUGUUUCAGCCGACUCUUUGCCCUGAACGAGUACCUGAAGAAACUUUGCAACUGACGGACAGAGUCGGUAGUGCUCCAGUUCUCCCUGUCAGAAUAAGCAACAGAGGACUUGGAAACCAUAUCAACUCCUGUAGAAAUGGCACUGUGGCGGUGCCUGGGGAGCAGGAGAGAUGGGGAGAUGUUAGGGACUCCAUAAAAUCUCAUUAUUGACAGGGAGUUACAUUGGGAGCGCUACAGGAGGACUGGCAGACAUGACAACAGUGACAAGGUUUAAUGUGUUGCAUAGGGUAUUGGGGAAAACAGCAAAUGUCAUCCCAUGUGAAUUUGAUAACCCUCUACACACCAUGUUCACCACUUUCACAAUCAGUUAUUAGUUGCAGUGAGCUGCAGCUGGGGUUUUAAUCCUUAGACUAUAACACCUGGCCUCAUGGUAUUCUGUCACUGCAUGAAUUAUCUGAUGUAGUAGUGAUGUGCAAUGUUUAAUGGGCAAUGUUUAUCCAAUGUUCAGACAAUUUUCAAUACAGUUGAAAUAAUCCCCAAUGCCAAUAAAUACUGAAAUAAACAUUACAACAUAAAACAG